GGGUGUUUGAUCUAGUAGUAUGAUUUUUGUUUCGGGUGCAAGAGACUGUUAGUUCAAUUUUCACAACACCCC
rnacentral:tRNA from 1 species